UACGUAGGCAGCGAGCGUUGUUCGGGGUUACUGGGCGUAAAGAGUGCGUAGGCGGUUUUCUAAGUUUGGUGCGAAAUCUCCCGGCUCAACUGGGAGGGUGCGCCGAAGACUGGAAGGCUUGAGUAUGGGAGAGGUAAGCGGAAUUCCUGGUGUAGCGGUGAAAUGCGUAGAUAUCAGGAGGAACACCUGCGGUGUAGACGGCUUACUGGACCAUAACUGACGCUGAGGCACGAAAGCGUGGGUAGCAAACAGG
rnacentral:rRNA from 1 species